CUACGGGAGGCUGCAGUGGGGAAUAUUGCACAAUGGAGGAAACUCUGAUGCAGCAACGCCGCGUGGAGGAUGACACUUUUCGGAGCGUAAACUCCUUUUAUAUGUCAAGAAAAUGACGGUAGCAUAUGAAUAAGCGCCGGCUAACUCCGUGCCAGCAGCCGCGGUAAUACGGAGGGCGCAAGCGUUACUCGGAAUCACUGGGCGUAAAGAGCGUGUAGGCGGAUUAGAAAGUCAGAAGUGAAAUCCUAUAGCUUAACUAUAGAACUGCUUCUGAAACUCUUAAUCUAGAAUAUGGGAGAGGUAGAUGGAAUUUCUGGUGUAGGGGUAAAAUCCGUAGAGAUCAGGAGGAAUACCGAUUGCGAAGGCGAUCUACUAGAACAUUAUUGACGCUGAGACGCGAAAGCGUGGGGAGCAAACAGGAUUAGAUACCCUAGUAGUC
rnacentral:rRNA from 1 species